GCCGCCCGCCCGGGCGCUCCGCCUCGGCCACGCACACCCUCGCGCGCACGCCCGCCCGCCCGCGCCUGGUACACGCCCGCGGCUGCCACUCGCGGGCUCCCCCCCCCACGCACCCUCUCCCCGGGCUGGCCGGCUCGGGGCCGCUCGCGCACUCAAGCGCGUACACACAUCGCUCUUGCACCCACAGGAUCUGCGGGGUAUUCGCCUCUUCGCCCCGCGCCACACCACCCAGCGGAGCAUCCUCUUCAGGCUACCCUGCGGGGGCGCAGUCAGCGGUCCAGCACACCCCACCUUAAUCUCAGCACAUCUCUUUCUCUUGUCCCUAACCCCGCCCUACACACACAGGCCAGCUCUCCUAGACACCUGGAUGACAGCUUAGCAUGAAGAGCCAGCUGCCUUCUCUUCGAGCCAAAACAUCAGUACGUGGUCCAGACCAUUGGCAAGUAGACCUGGGCAUCCUGAAUUUAUAGCUCCGACUGCAUCUCUGCAUCUCGCCCAAGGGGAGUCUAUGAAGCAGCUGUUUCUCUUAAUUAAAAAGGAAACGCAGAGAAGAGCCAUGGAGGCAUGCCACUCACAUUCGCCUGGACACUGCUGGACAGUGGGGGAUGUCCCCACCCACAGGAGCUGUCCCAUCAGCCUCAGCCCCAGAAUGAGAAAGACUUUGUGGGCUCCCUGCCAAUCCCAAGUAGCCAUGUGGUAGGAUCCGAUAAAUAAACAAACCUUUGUGCUUUAAGCCACAACAGUUUAGGAGUCCUUUGUUACUGCAGCAUAACCUGGAUUAUCCUGACUGGUUCUGUGAGAAAGAUACUCAAAACAGUGACUGUUGAGCUGAAUACCAAGGCAUCUGUCAAUCUAAGCAGCCCUAAAUACUCAUGUCAAACAGCCAUAUAUUAGUAGAAGCCAGAGGAAGAAAUUAGACAUUGCUUGUUAUUCUCGGUGUCAUCAAUGGCUAAGUCACCAUUCCUAUCUUCCUCACAGCACUGUUUUUGCCCAGCUUGAUAAUGAUAGCUGUAGUUAAAAACUACCAUUCAUUGAUCAUUUGUCAUAUGUCGCACACCAUAUAAAGUAUUUACAAUUCUACGUGAGAGGCAUUCUUAUCCUCAGAUUUCAGACGUGAAAACUAAAACCCAGAGUGAGAAUCUUAACACGCCCAAAGCCACAUAGUAUCCUGUUCCAGAGCAAAGGUUCUUAACUACUAUCCUUCAGACCAUCCCACAAACAUCUUCCCACGUAAGACAACCUGCCCCCACUGGGUCACACUGGCCUCAUUCUUUCCCCAGAUACUCUGGUCAGCCCUGCCCCUGAUCACAAGGGAUUUAAGAGGCCUUGGUUGGAGGAUACUGGGACAGUAUCCUGUUAGAUCAGUCUGAUCAAUGAUCCCAUGAAGGCUCUGAAUAUCUAAACACUGUUUUCUGGGCCCUUCUGAUCUUACUCUUAGCUAGUUUCCUAGUCUAAAAACAGAGCCCUGUCUCACUUUAAUGCAGUGAUUCUCAACCUUCCUAAUGCUGCAACCCUUUAAUACAGUUCCUCAUGCUGUGGUGACCCUCAACCAUAAAAUAAUCUCGUUACUAUUUCACAACUGUAAUUUUGCUACUGUUCUGAACCACAAUGUAAAUAUUUUUGGAGAGAGAGGUUGGCUAGAGGGGUCAUGACCCUAGGUUGAGAGCCUCUGCUCUAGUGCCUGAGUUCCUACUUCAGUGCUAGCUAAUGCUAGGCUUUAUCCUGUAGUCGACUUCUGGGUCUGACUUAUUACCCACUCCAGCUGUAGCUACUUUGGCCCCUACCACAGCCAACCAGAUUUACCUCUGAUGGAUUUCCUGUGUACUUGGUAGUGUUUUAUCAACUUGACACAAGCUGGAGUCAUUUCAGAAGAGGGAAGCUCAACUGAGAAGAUGCCACCAGCCAACUGGCCUGUGAACUGAAGUAUUUUCUUG